rnacentral:siRNA from 1 species
CCGCGCUUAACAAGAUGAA